AACUGCAAUUGCUUAUUGCACCACAUGUGUUUUUCUUUGAAACAAACUUGCUUUGGCGGUGGGCCCAGCCUGCCGCCAGAGGUCUAAACUUACAACCAAUUUUUUAUCAACUUGUCACACCAGAUUAUUACUAAUAGUCAAAACUUUCAACAACGGAUCUCUUGGUUCUCGCAUCGAUGAAGAACGCAGCGAAAUGCGAUACGUAAUAUGAAUUGCAGAUAUUCGUGAAUCAUCGAAUCUUUGAACGCACAUUGCGCCCUCUGGUAUUCCGGAGGGCAUGCCUGUUUGAGCGUCGUUUCUCCCUCAAACCGCUGGGUUUGGUGUUGAGCAAUACGACUUGGGUUUGCUUGAAAGACGGUAGUGGUAAGGCGGGAUCGCUUUGACAAUGGCUUAGGUCUAACCAAAAACAUUGCUUGCGGCGGUAACGUCCACCACGUAUAUCUUCAAACUUUGACCUCAAAUCAGGUAGGACUACCCGCUGAACUUAAGCAUAUCAAAAGCCGGGAGGAA
rnacentral:rRNA from 1 species